AACGUAGGAGACAAACGUUAUCCGGAGUUACUGGGCGUAAAGGGCGUGUUGGUGGUAGUGUAAGUCUGGCGUGAAAUUUUUCGGCUUAACCGGGAAAGGUCGUCGGAUACUGCACAACUAGAGGACGGUAGAGGCGUGUGGAAUUCCGGGUGUAGUGGUGAAAUGCGUAGAGAUCCGGAGGAACACCAGUGGCGAAGGCGACACGCUGGGCCGUACCUGACACUGAUGCGCGACAGCAUGGGGAGCAAACAGG
rnacentral:rRNA from 1 species